AUUAAAAAGUUAAUUGUGUGAAUCAGUUUAGUUUGAAAUUUAAAAUAUUAUUAUUAUAGAUUAAAAAAAAUAUUUUUUGGUUUUAUUAAUUUUUAUAGAAAAAAUUUAAUUAGUUAUAGUUGAUUAGUACAGUAGUAGAAUUAAAUUUAAAUUAAUAUAAGAAAAAUUUAUUUUUUGUACCUUGUGUGUCAGGGCUUAUUAAUUAAAUUUUAUUAAUAAAUAAAUUUCUCGAUUUUAAAAGAGUGAGUUGUUUAUAAAUUUUAUUGUAAAAUAAAUAUUUAAAAUAAACAAUUGGUAAUGAAACGUUAUUCGUUUUUAAAGAUAUCUAGUUUUUAAAGAAAAAAUUUUAAUUUUAUUUAUAUAAAUGUUUUUAUUUUUUAAGAAAAAAAAAUUUUAUAUAACUUAUAUAGUUUGGGAUAAGCUAAACUAUAAAAUUUUAUAAAAUAGUAAAAAAGAUAAUUAAAGUGUAGAAUUAGUAAUUUUCAUCAUUUAGUUUGUUAUAAUUAAUUAAUUAUACUUAAAGAUUUAUAUUGUUUUUAAUUUAUUUAUUUAAAUAUUAUAUUUAAUAAAAAUAAUUUAAGAAAUAAUGAUAAGAUUAGUAUAAUUUUAUGUAUGUUAUUGUUUGAUUUUUAUGUUAUAAUAAGGAAUUCGGCAAUUAUAUUUUUCGCCUGUUUAUUAAAAACAUGUCUUUUUGAGAAUAAUUUAAAGUCUAACCUGCCCAAUGAGUAGUUGAAUGGCCGCAGUAUUUUGACUGUGCAAAGGUAGCAUAAUCAUUAGUUUCUUAAUUAGAAACUGGAAUGAAAGGUUGGACGAGAAAAUAUCUGUCUCUUUAUAAAUUUUUUAGAAUUUUAUUUUUAAGUUAAAAAGCUUAAAUGAAUUUAAAAGACGAGAAGACCCUAUAGAGUUUUAUAAAAAGUUUUAUUAAUAAUUAUAAUUUAAUUUGUUUAAUUUUAAUAAAAUUUUUAUUUAAUUGGGGUGAUUAAAAAAUUUAAAGAACUUUUUUUUUAUAAAAACAUUAUUAUAUGAUUUUUUGAUCCAUUUUUUAUGAUUAUAAGAUUAAAUUACCUUAGGGAUAACAGCGUAAUUUCUUUGUAGAGUUCAAAUCGAUCAAGAAGUUUGCGACCUCGAUGUUGGAUUAAAAUUUAAUUUUGGUGUAGAAGCUAAAAAAUUAGGUCUGUUCGACCUUUAAAAUUUUACAUGAUCUGAGUUUAAACCGGUGUGAGCCAGGUUGGUUUCUAUCUUUAAAUAAAAAUAAAUAUUUUAGUACGAAAGGACCAAAUAUUUUUAAUAAUUAAUAAAUUAUGAAUAUUAAUAAGUAUUUUUAUUAUUUUGGCAGAUUAGUGCAUUAAAUUUAGAAUUUAAUUAUGU
rnacentral:rRNA from 1 species